rnacentral:lncRNA from 10 species
GGGAUCCUGCUGUAGAUAACCUUGACCUCCACCAGUGAUUACACUGAAGGCUGGGUUUGUAGUUGCUAAGAAGAUGGUUUUCGGGUCCAACAAGGAUCCCACCUCUGCUCUCUGCCAUAUGUAUGAUCUUGGACUAGUCACUUAAUCUUGCUGCCCCAUUUCUGUUUUCAUUAUUGAUUGUAGUUGUGAUUGUCUUGUGUUAUGGUGCUUCAGCAUUGGAUUCAGCAGCCAGCUUCCUAGUACGAAGGCAACGAUUACCUCCACAGGGUCCCUUCCAUUGUCCUCCUGCAUCAUUUUCCUCCAACUUGAAUAAAUGUUCUACCCACCUUUCUCC